GGAGAGGUGCCCGAGCGGCCGAAGGGGCACGAUUGGAAAUCGUGCGAGGGGUUAAAAGCCCCUCCGCGGGUUCGAAUCCCGCCCUCUCCG
rnacentral:tRNA from 2 species